rnacentral:rRNA from 1 species
GACGAACGCUGGCGGCGUGCUUAACACAUGCAAGUCGUACGGUAAGGCCCUUUCUGGGGUGCACGCGCGGCUAACGAGUGAGUAACACACGCGUGACCAGCCCACAACUUUGGUAUAACGACCGGCAGCUGGUGGUAACACAUGCUAUGUGCUCCUGCCGCAUGGUUGGGGUUGGUAGGCUCCGGCGGUUGUGGAUGGACUCGCGGCCUAUCAGCUAGUUGGUUGGGUAGUGGGCUACCUAGGCGGCGACGGGUGGCCGGCCUGGGAGGGUGAACGGCCACAUUGGGAAGGAGAUACGGCCCAGACUCCUACGGGAGGCAGCAGGGGGGGAUUUUGCACAAUGGGCGGGAGCCUGAUGCAGCAACGCCGGGGGCGGGAUGACGGCCUUCGGGUUGGAAACCGGUUUCAGCAGGGACGAAGCUUUGUGUGACGGUACCUGCAGAAGAAGCACCGGCUAACUACGUG